rnacentral:rRNA from 1 species
GAUGAACGCUGGCGGCGUGCCUAACACAUGCAAGUCGAGCGAACAGACGAGGAGCUUGCUCCUUGCUCGUUAGCGGCGCACGGGUGAGUAACGCGUGGAUAACCUACCUGUAAGACUGAGAUAUCUUCGAGAAACGGGAGCUAAUACCGUAUAAUAUCUUGAUCCGCAGGGUUCAAUGGUGAAAGACGGUGUUGCUGUCACUUAUCGAUGGAUCCCCGCCUCUUUAUCUAGUUGUGAAUUUAACGGCUUACCAAGGGAAGGAUGCGUAGCCGACGUGAGAGGGGGAUAGGCCACCUUGGAAGUGGGCCGGCGUCCAGACGACUAAGGGACGCAGCAGUAGGGAACGUUACGCAAUGGGCGAAAGCUUGACAGAGCAACGGGGAGUGAGUGAUGACGGUGCUCGGAUCGUAAAACUCUGUUAUUAGGGAAGAACAACUGUGUACGUAAAUAUGCACGUCUUGACGGUACCUAGUCAAAAAGCACCGGCUAACUACGUG